rnacentral:rRNA from 1 species
UACGUAGGGUGCUAGCGUUGUCCGGAUUUAUUGGGCGUAAAGAGCGUGUAGGCGGCCAUUCAGGUCAGCUGUGAAACUCGAGGCUCAACCUCGAGACGUCGGUUGAAACCGUUUGGCUAGAGUCCGGAAGAGGAGAGUGGAAUUCCCGGUGUAGCGGUGAAAUGCGCAGAUAUCGGGAAGAACACCCGUGGCGAAGGCGGCUCUCUGGGACGGUACUGACGCUGAGACGCGAAAGCGUGGGGAGCGAACAGG